AGACCGAUAGCGAACAAGUAGAGUGAUCGAAAGAUGAAAAGUACUUUGAAAAGAGGGUUAAAUAGCACGUGAAAUUGUUGAAAGGGAAGCGUUUAUGACCAGACUUUUUCUAGGAGGAUCAUCCGGUGUUCUCACCGGUGCACUUUUCCUAGUGAAGGCCAGCAUCGGUUUCUGUAGAGGGAUAAAAUUAGUAGGAAUGUGGCUCCCUCGGGAGUGUUAUAGCCUGCUAAAUAAUACCUUUACGGGGACCGAGGUUCGCGCAUCUGCAAGGAUGCUGGCGUAAUGGUCAUCAACGACCCGUCUUGAAACACGGACCAAG
rnacentral:rRNA from 1 species